UUUGCCUUCCUGAUCCCAUUGUAAGAGGACUUGCUGAGCAUGUCUGUCCUUUUUCCUGAGGCGGGAUGUGAGGUGGAAGGUGUUGCAUGCGUUUCUGCAGCACUCCUGUCUUGGAGCAGCAUGGACAGAGCCACUAAAUAUAUCCUACACCACUGGAGUCUGAGGUGAAGGAAAGAUCCUAAAGCUCCAGCCAGAAGGAAUUUCAAGAACAGAAAGACAUCUGUGUACAUCACUAGGCAAUGUGGUCUUGAACAAUGCUGAGUUCUCCUUUCUGCUGCUCCUCACAUCAAGUCCAGUGGUGUUAAUUGCGAGAAGUUAUGCCUGUCUGAAAGCCAAGAUAAUUCUCAACUUGUUUUGAUCAUCCACAAGGCUGGAGAAUGGGACUCACAGUUAUUCAAUGGCACUGUACUGAACAGUAAAGGCAUAGUGUUUCCAAUUAA